rnacentral:snRNA from 1 species
GUGCUCAUUUGGGCAGCACACAUACUAAAAUUGAAAUUAUACAGGGACAAUUAGCACAGCCCCUCUGCAAGGAUGACAGGCAAAUUUGUGAAGUGUUACAUAUUUUU